rnacentral:rRNA from 1 species
GGAUGAACGCCGGCGGUGUGCCUAAUACAUGCAAGUCGUACGCACUGGCCCAACUGAUUGAUGGUGCUUGCACCUGAUUGACGUUGGAUCACCAGUGAGUGGCGGACGGGUGAGUAACACGUAGGUAACCUGCCCCGGAGCGAGGGAUAACAUUUGGAAACAGAUGCUAAUACCGCAUAACAACAAAAGCCACAUGGCUUUUGUUUGAAAGAUGGCUUUAGCUAUCACUCUGGGAUGGACCUGCGGUGCAUUAGCUAGUUGGUAAGGUAACGGCUUACCAAGGCGAUGAUGCAUAGCCGAGUUGAGAGACUGAUCGGCCACAAUGGAACUGAGACACGGUCCAUACUCCUACGGGAGGCAGCAGUAGGGAAUCUUCCACAAUGGGCGCAAGCCUGAUGGAGCAACACCGCGUGAGUGAAGAAGGGUUUCGGCUCGUAAAGCUCUGUUGUUGGAGAAGAACGUGCGUGAGAGUAACUGUUCACGCAGUGACGGUAUCCAACCAGAAAGUCACGGCUAACUACGUGCCAGCAGCCGCGGUAAUACGUAGGUGGCAAGCGUUAUCCGGAUUUAUUGGGCGUAAAGCGAGCGCAGGCGGUUGCUUAGGUCUGAUGUGAAAGCCUUCGGCUUAACCGAAGAAGUGCAUCGGAAACCGGGCAACUUGAGUGCAGAAGAGGACAGUGGAACUCCAUGUGUAGCGGUGGAAUGCGUAGAUAUAUGGAAGAACACCAGUGGCGAAGGCGGCUGUCUGGUCUGCAACUGACGCUGAGGCUCGAAAGCAUGGGUAGCGAACAGGAUUAGAUACCCUGGUAGUCCAUGCCGUAAACGAUGAGUGCUAGGUGUUGGAGGGUUUCCGCCCUUCAGUGCCGGAGCUAACGCAUUAAGCACUCCGCCUGGGGAGUACGACCGCAAGGUUGAAACUCAAAGGAAUUGACGGGGGCCCGCACAAGCGGUGGAGCAUGUGGUUUAAUUCGAAGCUACGCGAAGAACCUUACCAGGUCUUGACAUCUUGCGCUAACCUUAGAGAUAAGGCGUUCCCUUCGGGGACGCAAUGACAGGUGGUGCAUGGUCGUCGUCAGCUCGUGUCGUGAGAUGUUGGGUUAAGUCCCGCAACGAGCGCAACCCUUGUUACUAGUUGCCAGCAUUAAGUUGGGCACUCUAGUGAGACUGCCGGUGACAAACCGGAGGAAGGUGGGGACGACGUCAGAUCAUCAUGCCCCUUAUGACCUGGGCUACACACGUGCUACAAUGGACGGUACAACGAGUCGCAAGCUCGCGAGAGUAAGCUAAUCUCUUAAAGCCGUUCUCAGUUCGGACUGUAGGCUGCAACUCGCCUACACGAAGUCGGAAUCGCUAGUAAUCGCGGAUCAGCAUGCCGCGGUGAAUACGUUCCCGGGCCUUGUACACACCGCCCGUCACACCAUGGGAGUUUGUAACGCCCAAAGUCGGUGGCCUAACCUUUAUGGAGGGAGCCGCCUAAGGCGGGACAGAUGACUGGGGU